rnacentral:rRNA from 1 species
AUUGAACGCUGGCGGCAUGCCUUACACAUGCAAGUGGAGCGACGAACCAGGGCUUGCCCUGGGCAGAGCCGCGAACGGGUGAGUAACACGUGGGUAACCUGCCCUGAUGACCGGGACAACCCGAGGAAACUCGGGCUAAUACCGGAUGAGAUCGCACCGCAUAAGCGGAGCGAGGAAAGGUAGCUUCGGCUUCCGCAUUGGGAUGGGCCCGCGGCCCAUUAGCUUGUUGGUGAGGUAACGGCUCACCAAGGCGACGAUGGGUAGCUGGUCUGAGAGGACGAUCAGCCACACUGGGACUGAGACACGGCCCAGACUCCUACGGGAGGCAGCAGUGGGGAAUCUCGCGCAAUGCGCGAAAGCGUGACGCAGCAACGCCGCGUGCGGGAAGACGGCCUUCCGGUUGUAAACCGCUUUCAGUUGGGACGAAGCCCGUCCGGUGAACAGCCGGCACGGGUGACGGUACCUUCAGAAGAAGCCCCGGCUAACUACGUGCCAGCCGCCGCAGUAAAAC